rnacentral:pre_miRNA from 1 species
ACUAGUGCUGUGAAAGACGAUGGUAGUGAGAUGCCAGUUGCAUCUCGCUUCCCCGCCUUUCCCGGUAAGAAUCACUAGUC